AGCGAACGCUGGCGGCAGGCCUAACACAUGCAAGUCGAGCGCCCCGCAAGGGGAGCGGCAGACGGGAGAGUAACACGUGGGAACGUACCCUUCGGUUCGGAACAACCCAGGGAAACUUGGGCUAAUACCGGAUACGUCCGUAAGGAGAAAGAUUCAUCGCCGAAGGAGCGGCCCGCGCCUGAUUAGCUAGUUGGUGAGGUAACGGCUCACCAAGGCUACGAUCAGUAGCUGGUCUGAGAGGAUGAUCAGCCUCACUGGGACUGAGACACGGCCCAGACUCCUACGGGAGGCAGCAGUGGGGAAUAUUGGACAAUGGGCGCAAGCCUGAUCCAGCCAUGCCGCGUGGGUGAUGAAGGCCCUAGGGUUGUAAAGCCCUUUCGGCGGGGAAGAUAAUGACGGUACCCGCAGAAGAAGCCCCGGCUAACUUCGUGCCAGCAGCCGCCGUAAAAC
rnacentral:rRNA from 1 species